AGCGAACGCUGGCGGCAGGCUUAACACAUGCAAGUCGAACGCCCGGGCAACCGGGAGUGGCAGACGGGUGAGUAACGCGUGGGAACGUGCCCUUUGGUUCGGAAUAACUCAGGGAAACUUGAGCUAAUACCGGAUAAGCCCUUACGGGGAAAGAUUUAUCGCCGAAGGAUCGGCCCGCGUCCGAUUAGCUAGUUGGUGUGGUAGUGGCGCACCAAGGCGACGAUCGGUAGCUGGUCUGAGAGGAUGAUCAGCCACACUGGGACUGAGACACGGCCCAGACUCCUACGGGGGGCAGCAGUGGGGAAUAUUGGACAAUGGGGGCAACCCUGAUCCAGCCAUGCCGCGUGAGUGAUGAAGGCCCUAGGGUUGUAAAGCUCUUUCGGCGGGGACGAUAAUGACGGUACCCGCAGAAGAAGCCCCGGCUAACUUCGUGCCAGCCGCCGCCGUAACAC
rnacentral:rRNA from 1 species